CAAUAGCGUAUAUUAAAGUUGUUGCAGUUAAAAAGCUCGUAGUUGGAUUUCUGGUAGGAGCGACCGUGCCGAACUUGAUUGUUCGAGUAUUGUGUCGUCUUCAGCCAUCCUCGUGGAGAACUUUUCUAACAUUAACUUGUUGGGAUUGGGACCCGCGUCGUUUACUGUGAAAAAAUUAGAGUGUUUAAAGCAGGCAUUAGCUUGAAUACAUUAGCAUGGAAUAAUAAGAUAGGACUUUGGUACUAUUUUGUUGGUUUGCAUACCAAAUUAAUGAUCAACAGGAACAGUUUGAGGAUAUUCGUAUGAACAUGUCAGAGGUGAAAUUCUUGGAUUUUGAUCAGACGAACUACUGCGAAAGCAUUUAUCAAGGAUGUUUUCAUUAA
rnacentral:rRNA from 1 species